rnacentral:ribozyme from 1 species
AAUGUGAAAAAAAAAAAAAAAAAAAAAAAAAAAAAAAAAA